rnacentral:lncRNA from 1 species
AUGUUCAACUUUAUGAGUCCAUUAAACAGUUUUUGGUCACAAAUCAGCCACACCACUUCAUUUGCAAAAAAAAGUCAAGUAUCUUGGGGAGAAAUACAAGAACACUUUAAAGAGCACCAGAACUCUGACCAUCCCACAUGAGGAAGAGUUCUUCUACCAGGACUUAGUGUUAACAACUAUCAGCAGGAAUCAGUCUAAUCCACUGCAAGUAGCUCUUCAACAAUACAAGUUAGUUUCUCAAAGUUUGAAUACUAGGAAGAGUUAUGUCAACCAAAUAUUCCGGCCGUGGGUAACCCAAAAAAGGUAAUAUAUAUCAUCUUUUUCAUUUUCUUAUCAACGUCAAUUAAUAUACUAAUGUGAUGGUUUACUAGUUUGUUUUAAAGAUUGCCUAGACUUGUGUCAUGGUUGCAUAUUAAUUAUUCAAAUAUAAAUUAUUGCUGGCAACCAAUUAUUCUACUUGUGGUAACACGCUUUCCGCAUCUUAAGGAUUUUUAAUACAUGUGUAAAGAUUUUUACGCUUCUCAUGUAAUUAAAUUCCUCUCUUUAGCUUAAAAAUUAAGUUGUGUAUCUGAGUACUGUUGUUGAACUUCACUAUCUAUGCAAUUUUAUGAUUCAUAUUUUGCUAUGCUGAACUCCUUUGUCUUGGUACCUUCCAAGUGCGUCUAUUUUUUUUUCUUAUGAAUAACUUUUAUACAAGGAGGAACUUUCUGAACUAGAGGAACAAAAGAUAGCAAGGAGCUAUUUCGACACAAAGAUACAACAUGCACAAUUGGUUUCAGAUGCCUAUAAUGCUAGCCAUGGUUUUGG